AUCCAGCUGAUGAGUCCCAAAUAAGAUGAAAUGCGCGUGCUGAAU
rfam:Schistosoma mansoni strain Puerto Rico chromosome 6, complete genome